AGGAAAACCAUGCCAUGGUUGCAAACAGUAGCCUCGUUGGUACUGUAUGCAGCCUGUUGAUUGUAUGGGUUGCCCUAAGGGACCUUGGAGACAGCC
rnacentral:snoRNA from 1 species